rnacentral:rRNA from 1 species
UACAGAGGUCCCAAGCGUUGUUCGGAUUCAUUGGGCGUAAAGGGUGCGUAGGCGGCGCGGUAAGUCGGGUGUGAAAUCUCGGGGCUUAACUCCGAAACUGCAUUCGAUACUGCCGUGCUUGAGGACUGGAGAGGAGACUGGAAUUUACGGUGUAGCGGUGAAAUGCGUAGAUAUCGGGAGGAACACCAGUGGCGAAGGCGGCUUCCUGGACCAGUACUGACGCUGAGGCGCGAAAGCUAGGGGAGCAAACAGG